AUUGAACGCUGGCGGCAGGCCUAACACAUGCAAGUCGGACGGUAACAGGGAUCAGCUUGCUGAUUCGCUGACGAGUGGCGGACGGGUGAGUAAUGUCUGGGAAACUGCCUGAUGGAGGGGGAUAACUACUGGAAACGGUAGCUAAUACCGCAUAACGUCGCAAGACCAAAGAGGGGGACCUUCGGGCCUCUUGCCAUCGGAUGUGCCCAGAUGGGAUUAGCUAGUAGGUGGGGUAACGGCUCACCUAGGCGACGAUCCCUAGCUGGUCUGAGAGGAUGACCAGCCACACUGGAACUGAGACACGGUCCAGACUCCUACGGGAGGCAGCAGUGGGGAAUAUUGCACAAUGGGCGCAAGCCUGAUGCAGCCAUGCCGCGUGUAUGAAGAAGGCCUUCGGGUUGUAAAAUACUUUCAGCGGGGAGGAAGGGAGUAAAGUUAAUACCUUUGCUCAUUGACGUUACCCGCAGAAGAAGCACCGGCUAACUCCGUG
rnacentral:rRNA from 1 species